AGAGUUUGAUCAUGGCUCAGGACGAACGCUGGCGGCGUGCUUAACACAUGCAAGUCGAACGAUGAACUUGGAGCUUGCUCUGGGGGAUUAGUGGCGAACGGGUGAGUAACACGUGAGUAACCUGCCCUGGACUCUGGGAUAACCCCGAGAAAUCGGAGCUAAUACCGGAUAGGACCUGGAACCGCAUGGUUUUGGGUGGAAAGUUUUUUCGGUCUGGGAUGGACUCGCGGCCUAUCAGCUUGUUGGUGAGGUAAUGGCUCACCAAGGCGUCGACGGGUAGCCGGCCUGAGAGGGUGACCGGCCACACUGGGACUGAGACACGGCCCAGACUCCUACGGGGGGCAGCAGUGGGGAAUAUUGCACAAUGGGCGAAAGCCUGAUGCAGCAACGCCGCGUGAGGGAUGACGGCCUUCGGGUUGUAAACCUCUUUUAGUAGGGAAGAAGGGCUUCGGCUUGACGGUACCUGCAGAAAAAGCACCGGCUAACUACGUGCCAGCCGCCGCGGUAAUUC
rnacentral:rRNA from 1 species